CGGAGUGUGGCUCAGCCUGGUAGAGCACUGCGUUCGGGACGCAGGGGUCGGAGGUUCGAAUCCUCUCACUCCGA
rfam:Brevundimonas sp. KM4 contig_12, whole genome shotgun sequence.